rnacentral:rRNA from 1 species
ACGAGCGCACNCCUAUCCUUAUUUGCCAGCGCGAUAAUGGCGGGGACUAUAANGAGACUGCCGGUCAUAAACCGGAGGAAGGCGGGGACGACGUCAAGUCAUCAUGGCCCUUAUGGGUAGGGCUACACACGUGCUACAAUGGGUGGUACAGAGGGUCGCCAAAGCGCGAGCUGGANCCAAACCCUUAAAACCAUUCGUAGUCCGGAUUGGAGUCUGCAACUCNACUCCAUGAANUCGGAAUCGCUAGUAAUCNCGAAUCAGAAUGUCGCGGUGAAUACNUUCUCGGGCCUUGUACACACCGCCCGUCACAUCAUGGAAGUGGGUUGCACCAUAAUUGGUUAGACUAACCUUCGGGAAGACNAUCACCACGGUGUGAUUCAUGACUGGNAUGAANUCNUAACNANGUANCCCUANNGGAANGGNGGGGGNGGAUCACCUCCUU